CUUACAUUACAGUUUGGCCGUGUACCAGAUAUGUAACACAUAAACAUUCAAGCAAUCAGCCGAACUUUUUAAAUGAUGGGGUUUUUUUGUUUUGUUUUUUUGGUAAGAUGUUAUGGAAAAUUGACUUUGUUGAUAACUGAUAGGUGAGUCUCUGAAGUGUCUGCCCACCUGUCAAUGUGAAACAAGCAAAACAAUCUUCAGUUCAACAACAGUAUUUCUGAAUUACGUACUGUGAGCGAGUAGUUUUGACCCGCCACGCCACUGUUGCGUAACAGUAGGGGUGUUCACACAGCAACUUUUACUCCGGUGUAGUACCCAGGCUGCCUCCGUAGAGCGUUCACAUGUACAAAGUUAUACCGAUGUAGCCCCUGAAAACAGCUUAAACCGGAGCAAAUUUAACCUUGCUCAUGAGGUGGUUUAAAAAUUUACUCUGGAGUAAAUGCUAGUUUGCGGGGCAGCACCGAUAUAAAAUUUGAAGUUGUGAACGCUACAGGGGUAGACUCGCUAUGACGCGUGAGAAGAGUUGCUUACAUACGGGUAUUGAAUGCGUUGCGUUCGUGCUCUGUUGUACUUCUGUCAUAUUUCCUUUCUCUCAUCCUUUUACGGUGUCUGAUAGACGUCACAUACAUUAACACAAUACAGUAUAGGCUCGUCAAACAGCAUUUAAAAACAUCAAGUAUUGUAUUCACAAUUAAGAGCAGGAAACUAAAUUUUCAGAUAUUGUCAAAAAUAAAAAGAUUAAAAAAAUACUAAAUAAAAUGCCACUCAAAUUACGCUGUGUGAUCUUAAACAAGUCUGUCCAAUAAAUUGCGCAAUGUCGCAGUUGCAUAUAAGACACCAACCAAACAAUAACAAAACAUUGAACAAACAAAAAUUCAUUCAUUCAUUCAUUCAUUCAUCUUCCGAGCCGCUUGAUCCUCACUCGGGUCGCGGGUGGUGCUGGAGCCUAUCCCAGCUGUCUUCGGGCAGUAGGCGGGGGACACCCUGAAUCGGUUGCCAGCCAAUCGCAGGGCACACAGAAAUGAACAACCAUUCGCACUCACACUCACACCUAGGGACAAUUUAGAGUUUUCAAUCGGCCUGCCACGCAUGUUUUUGGAAUGUGGGAGGAAACCGGAGCACCCGGAGAAAACCCACGCAGGCCCGGGGAGAACAUGCAAACUCCACACAGGGAGGCCGGAGCUGGAAUCGAACGGAAAGAAAACAUUUGAACAUAAAUACCUGACGUGAAGAUUUAAAUGACAAACGAGGGAGAGGUAUGCUCAUCUGGGGGUGCACAGUUGCUGCAGACGGGAUAAUCUCAAGAGUCCAAGUACCUCUGCACUGUGAAGCCGACGUGCUAACCACUGGAGUACCGGGCCGCACAAAACAAAUUAUUCUUUGAAAAUAAAGUAAAAGGAUCAUUUGCAUUUUGAGAAUCGGCUACAAAACGGCAAAUAACUGACGAUGUUGAGCAGCUGAGAGUGAACGAACUUUCGUGCACAAAGGUGACUACAAUGCGCCAUUAUAAAUUGCAGGUGAGCAGAUUUAUUUGAUACAUUUUUGUAUCUUUGUCAUUUUAUGUUGUUACCAUUAAUUUAAUACCAACAAAAUAAAAUGACAAGAAGAAAUGUAAAAUAAGAUUCAUUUACUCACCAAUGUAGUGUCUGUUCACUGAGCUGCACAUCUACGCGAGUGGCCCCAAAUGUUUUUAAACGCACCGUAAUUUGUAAGUGCCCAGCCGUGCUCUGAUGUUUCCUUGCUGCCUUGGUAAAACAACUUAAAUGGGUAAAUCCAGUAUGGCUCCAAACACCAAAUCGGUCCGUUGCCAGCAAUAGGCAUUCCCAGCAGUACAAUUUGCAGCAUUUCUCAGAGGCUGUGAGCCACGGGUACCGUUCAUAAUUGCUUGACAAACCCUUUUCAUUGCUGGGACAGGCUAGCUAGCGCAGGAGUUGGGCGACCUCUUCACACAAUAUUCAGCUUUUCGUGUAAGGUCCGUCUUGAAAAUUGUGUGGAAAGUAGUUCAGCAACCAGAUCAACGUCUUCUUCUUCGGCCGUUUUGGGUUAAAAUGCAGUGAUGGCUCCCUCUAGCAGGCGCUAAUCCAUUUACCGAACGCGCACGUCCAGUCUCGACGUAAGGCAUUCUCGCUGGCCCCGGUGCGCAGACUCGUGAUCUGAUUGGCUAUUGCAACCUGACUGUGCCCGUUCAUUUACAGCGCAAUGGGGCCUGCUCUGUAUAAACUGAAGGCCCCAAGCAAAUUUAAUUUACCUGGCAAUACAAGCUAGCUGAAAUAUGUUUGGUUAAAAACUCUACCAUAAUAAAUAAGUUAUUUAUCGAGUGGUUUUCAAUGUUAAUUAAAAUAACAUUGAAAGCCACUCCUAAACUAAAACUAAAUGGAAAUAAUAUGACGUAAAGAAUACAGAGAAUAAUUUUGAUUACAUAUUUAUGAAAAUAAAAUAACAUGAAUUAAAUUUAUGUUAUUGUAUGAAUUUUUAGGAGGCCUUGCUGGCCCUGAGGGUCUGCCACUGGUUGAAUGUAUGCAAAUGUUGCUUUCAAGGGGAAGUCAACUGCAACAUUUUCUCUACAGUAAUAUAUUCUAUGCGCUUCCACUAGUUGAAACAUGGCAUUCUGAAUUAAUACUGGGUUUGUGGAUUAUGAGUUAAGCAACAAAUACCUGUUUUUUGUCCAUCUCAUUGGGUUGCCCUUGUGUCACUUUCUGUCAACUGAAAAUGACAUCACAGAUGGCUCAGGGUAACAUCCAAGCACGGCUCAACUGUAUUCGAGAGCGGCGCCAAUAUUUAUCAGAUUGCCAUGUUUAGACUAGUAGGGCGGCGUGGACCAUAUUUGUGCAAAGAAAAUUUGUGGGUUGACUUCCCCUUUAAAAAUUCUCUUUAGUAAGUAGCUUUUUAAGUGUGAAUGCUCCCCAGAAUUUACACCGGUGUAAGAUAUAUCGCAACAAAAUACAUCGGUGCAGCACCGAUGCAAAUGUGUACCGUGUGAACACCCCAAGCUAUCUAUAUAUAGAUGUAAUGAUGUAUACAUGAUAGAUAAUAUCUAUUAUGUUCCCCAAACAUAAUGUCGAAAAAGCUCAGCACCUUUUACCGCUGCAACCGAAGGUGCUGCUUAAAAUGCCUCAAAUCGGCAGCUGUCGCAGCACCCACUUGCCUUGAAAUUGGCAGCUGCUGCAGCCCUACAUCCAGCAUCUCCCAACUCAAUCAGAAGUACGACGACGAACUGCCACUACAAACGAAUGUGCUAGCACUUCCUGUCGUUCUGAACGGUAUGACUCAUAAUUUCUCCUGCAUGCACACAUUCAUAGAGUUGUUACACGCUUGUUCGCCUGUCUCUCACCCAAAAAGAUGUCAAAAUGUAUGCCUUUUCAUCAUAGCAUGUGACAGAAAAAAAUCUGUAAAUAUUUGCUAUCCUUUUCCUAUGAAAUAAAAAAAGUGUAUCCUUAAAAUAAAGAAGUAACUAGACCUGAUAAUUAGGCAUUUAUGGUUCCAAGCAGAAGAGCAUAUGUAGUGUAAAUGUUUUCUGGAGAAUAACAUCCUCAAUGUUUUAAUAUUUCAGGCAGGACACUUCCUCAUAAUCAGUAAAAGGAAAAAAGGCGAGGGGUGAGCAUUUCUCUGAAGGUUCAGGAGAUUGACAUCAGGUCGAAGGAGACCAAGCUCCAGCAGUUAGAACCAAGAUGUGUCCUUGAGCCCAUUUUGUUUGGAAAUAGGCCUCCCAGCCUAUAAUGAAAUGUGGAAUGCUGGCAGAGGACGACUUCUUGGGAACCAAUAUCGUACCGUCUGGAAGCAAGUUAUACAAAGAUCUGUCAACUUUUCAAAAUUAUAGAAAUGGGCAAUCAACAUAUUCCAGAAUACAGAACAAAUACUGUGUGGAUUUCUUGAAUGAUAGCAGAGAUUUGAAUCAUCACUGAGCUUCAGUCCAAUGGACUUUGGAGAUGCUCUGAUGGACAGUCCUGGAUUCUCUGCUCUGUGCUGUACCUACGCUGUUCUGGAAAAUAACUUAAUUAGAUAAUAAAAAAUAAUAAACAAAAAUAUUAGAUAUGUUCGACAUGGACAAUUCUAAGACAUCCUGAUAUGUUAUCAUGCUGAAGUAUUUGUAUGCAUUCUGAUUUCUUAGGACAGUUUUGUCAAAAUUAGAUUUUGGGUUGUUUGAAUUUAAAUGAACUCACUAAAUGUGAGUUCCUUGUUGAAGAACAGCCACAAGACUGGACUGACACAUGAGUCACCGCUGGAAAACUAGACAAAACUGUUAAAUUUACUGUUACUAAACCACUCAUAAAUCCUGCAAAUAAAAUGCUUAAUUAAAUACGUUGAA